UACGAAGGGGGCGAGCGUUGUUCGGAAUUACUGGGCGUAAAGGGCGCGCAGGCGGCUCUGAAAGUCAGAUGUGAAAGCCUCGGGCUUAACCUGAGAACUGCAUUUGAUACUCUGGAGCUUGAGUACGGGAGAGGAUAGUGGAAUUCCCGGUGUAGAGGUGAAAUUCGUAGAUAUCGGGAGGAACACCAGUGGCGAAGGCGGCGACCUGGGCCAAUACUGACACUGAGGUGCGAAAGCGUGGGGAGCAAACAGG
rnacentral:rRNA from 1 species